rfam:Vibrio rumoiensis 1S-45 1S-45_contig_92, whole genome shotgun sequence.
GCAUUCAUUCAAACUGUUCUUUUUUGGCUUCUUUUUUCCAUCCUAACUGGUGGGGCUAGAUGUCGUUUUAAAAAUAAGCCAAAAACGGACAGAAAGCCUCCCACUCUGGGGGGCUUUUUUAU